rnacentral:rRNA from 1 species
UACAGAGGUCUCAAGCGUUGUUCGGAUUCAUUGGGCGUAAAGGGUGCGUAGGCGGCGCGGUAAGUCGGGUGUGAAAUCUCGGAGCUUAACUCCGAAACUGCACUCGAUACUGCCGUGCUUGAGGACUGGAGAGGAGACUGGAAUUUACGGUGUAGCGGUGAAAUGCGUAGAUAUCGUAAGGAAGACCAGUGGCGAAGGCGGGUCUCUGGACAGUUCCUGACGCUGAGGCACGAAGGUCAGGGGAGCAAACGGG